GCACAUACCCCCAAAAACCUGGGGAUCCUGGGUUACAUAAUGAGCUCCUUCUUGGAUUAUUUGCAAGAGUCUUCUAAGUGGGCCUUAAUUCACCCUGUACACCACUACCAAAUUCAUGUGUCUGAAGUGAUUCCUGGUAUCUGGGAGGCUUAGACUGGAGGUCUGGUGUUAAUUGCCCCACUCUGAAAUUUCACUGCUAUAUUUAAUAUUUAAUCAUUUUAUUAAAUAUUUAAUAUUUAAUCUCGUAUUGUCUUUUUUACCCACUUAUAGCAUGUAUUUUCUGAAAGGUGUAACUUAAUCAUGCCCAUAAAAAUGCAGUAUUUCAUUAUGUAUUCACUGACACUUUUUGGUUUUUUUAAAUGUCUGUUUUUAGAUGUGAAUAACUUUCUUUCCCUCCUCCUGAGGACUAAAGUCUGAUUUUUUAUCUUGCCCAAAUUCCUAUCUAAGGGGUCUGGGGAGUCAUGCCCUGCAAACCAUAAACUCUCAUCAGAUGGGUUUUAUUUAACCCUGUAUAUCGUGACUUGCUUCCAAUCUGGCAUGACAAGGAAGAAAAUAAAAAUGUUUUACCCCAAAAUAUAUUUCCUUGCCAUAUCUUGAAACUGCCCUGCAAAGUUUCUUGUGGGAAAAAUCCACAUUCUAUAGAGAAUCCCCUUCCCCCUUUGUUUUCCUUCUUCCUUUCCAGAUCCAGGAGAUAAUCAACUGAGAGCCAGGGACCAUUUUAAAUCCAAUAAGAAACAUUUUACAACCUGCUCUCUCUGAAGUCUGCUAUCUGAGAGCUUCUUCUGCACAAUAAAACUUGGUCUCCACAAUCCUUUAUCUUAACCGGAACAUUUCCUUUCUAUUGAUCCCAGGUCUUCGGAUAAACUCAACCAACUGUCAACUAGAAAAUGUUUAAAUUUACCUAUAGCCUGGAAACCACCACUUUGAGCUGUCCUGCCUUUCUGAACCAAACCAAUGUAUUUCGUAAAUGUAUUUGAUUGAUGUCUCAUGCCUUCCUAAAAUAUGUAAAACUAAACUGUACCCCGACCACCUUGGGCACAUGUUCUCAGGACCUCCUGAGGGCUGUGUCACGGGCCA
rnacentral:lncRNA from 10 species